rnacentral:rRNA from 1 species
UACGUAGGGGGCAAGCGUUGUCCGGAUUUAUUGGGCGUAAAGAGCGUGUAGGCGGUCUGGUAGGUCCGUUGUGAAAACCUGCAGCUUAACUGUGGGCGUGCGGUCGAUACGGGCAUCACUGGAGUUCGGCAGGGGAGACUGGAAUUCCUGGUGUAGCGGUGAAAUGCGCAGAUAUCAGGAGGAACACCGGUGGCGAAGGCGGGUCUCUGGGCCGAUACUGACGCUGAGGAGCGAAAGCGUGGGGAGCAAACAGG